GUGAAUCAUCGAAUCUUUGAACGCAAAUUGCACUCCCUGGUAUUCCGGGGAGUAUGCCUGUUUGAGGGUCGUUAGAAGAAAAAUCGAAGCAUCGCUCUUUUUUGAGGGUGGAUGUGUUGGUAUUUAGCCGUCUUUCAAAAGUUUAAUUAUUUUAAAGUUGCUUUAAAUUCAUCCAUUCCGUACGAUUAAAACGUUUUUUAGA
rnacentral:misc_RNA from 1 species